CCUACGGGAGGCAGCAGUGGGGAAUAUUGCACAAUGGGCGCAAGCCUGAUGCAGCCAUGCCGCGUGUAUGAAGAAGGCCUUCGGGUUGUAAAGUACUUUCAGCGAGGAGGAAGGUGUGUGGUUAAUAACCGCAGCAAUUGACGUUACUCGCAAAAGA
rnacentral:rRNA from 1 species